rnacentral:tRNA from 1 species
AGUUAGUCGUAUAAAAAUUUGGGUUUUAAUUGUCACUAAUAUUAUUAGGGCUU